rnacentral:rRNA from 1 species
AGGCAAUAGAUACCCAGGUAGUCCUGGCAGUAAACGGUGCGCGUUUGGUGUGGGAGGAUUCGACCCCUUCUGUGCCGGAGCUAAACGCGUUAAACGCGCCGCCUGGGGAGUACGGUCGCAAGAUUAAAACUCAAAGAAAUUGACGGGGGCCCGCACAAGCGGUGGAGUAUGUGGCUUAAUUCGAUGCAACGCGAAGAACCUUACCAGGCCUUGACAUGCAUCUCUAAGUCGGUGAAAGCCGGCGAGUGUAGCAAUACACAAUUUGCACAGGUGCUGCAUGGCUGUCGUCAGCUCGUGUCGUGAGAUGUUGGGUUUAAGUCCCGCAACGAGCGCAACCUCUGUGAACUGUUGCCACCGGCCUUCGGGCCGAGCACUCUGUUCAGACUGCCCUGUGAAACGGGGAGGAAGGUGGGGAUGACGUCAAGUCAGCAUGGCCCUUACGGCCUGGGCUGCACACGUACUACAAUGCCCAGUACAGAAUGAACCGAAACCGCGAGGUGGAGGAAAUCUCAAAA